CCUGGUUUCAACGAGAUUCGCUUUUUCAAACAGUUUUGGUAAAGAAAAUAUUAACCACUUGUCAAAAAACUAAUAACUAGUUUCUGUCGUCAUGUUUUUUUUCUUCUCUCCUAAAAACUCCGUGAAGCAAAGUUAUAGAACCCUGCGAUCUUAAUAAAUCCGGCUAAAACCUAAUCGAUUGUUGAAGAAGUUGAAGAAGAUUACUCUUGAUGAAUCUCCCAACAGGAAACAAAAUAAAGCUCAACCCUCGAAGUAAGUAAUUCUAUACUUAUGAUUGAUUUUGUUUUCUGAUUUCUAAUCAAGUGAUGUUGAAAGAAUCGAAAAAGGGUGACUAACAUUGAAGUUAAUUGGAGGAUCAUCUCUUAUCAUAGCUAAGAAGAGGGUUUGUUGUUACCUAAUAAUUAGAAUUUUUGUUUCUUUCAGAAAUUGGAAUCUUUGAUUUUUAUGUUUAUAAGAAAUUUGUGAUAUUGCAUGAAUGAAUUUCAACCUCAAAUUCCCAACACCCUGAGUGAAAACUCAAAGAAAGAUGAGCUACAGAGAAGCAGAGGAGGAGAAAUGGAAUGAAAACCCCGUAGAAGAGAAUUCAGGGCUUAUCUUGUAGGAUUAGAAGACACUACAAUGGAAGAGAGCGCAACAGCAUUCUGGGAUCGUGUUCUUCACUAUUUUGUCAACUCAAAUGGUAAUUAUCAAGGAAGAGCGCCAGAAUGUCUAGCAGAAAGGUUCGGGGGCAUACGUGAUUGUUGUUUACGAUAUAAAAAAAUAUUGAGGGGCUUGAAUAUGGAUCAAGAAGCUGCAAUUCUUGCAUAUGCUGCAUCUGUAGGGCGCGAAUUCAAAUUCAUGGAGGCUUAUGAAAUUAUCAAAGGAGAUGUUUUAAGUUUGUAUUAAACUUGCAUUAAGCAUUAAGGAACUAAAGUUUUCGUUUGAUUAUGAUUAUGAGAAACUGAAUUCCAGUUGGGUAACUAAAAAAAUUUCCUGU